rnacentral:rRNA from 1 species
UGGGGAAUAUUGGACAAUGGGCGCAAGCCUGAUCCAGCCAUGCCGCGUGGGUGAAGAAGGCCCUAGGGUUGUAAAGCCCUUUUGGCGGGGAAGAUAAUGACGGUACCCGCAGAAGAAGCCCCGGCUAACUUCGUGCCAGCAGCCGCGGUAAUACGAAGGGGGCUAGCGUUGUUCGGAAUCACUGGGCGUAAAGCGCACGCAGGCGGACUGUUAAGUCGGGGGUGAAAGCCCGGGGCUCAACCCCGGAACGGCCUUCGAUACUGGCAGUCUCGAGUCCGGGAGAGGUGAGUGGAAUUCCUAGUGUAGAGGUGAAAUUCGUAGAUAUUAGGAAGAACACCAGUGGCGAAGGCGACUCACUGGCCCGGUACUGACGCUCAGGUGCGAAAGCGUGGGGAGCAAA